GCCUUUGCUAGUUGGCGGGGUGAAGCCUCUAGCCUUUGCUAGUUGGCGGGGAAGGGAAAAUAUAGCCUCUAGCCUUUGCUAGUUGGCGGGGUUAAGCCUCUAGCCUUUGCUAGUUGGCGGGGGAUGGGAAAACGAAGCCUCUAGCCUCAUCUACAGUCUUAAAUUGCAUGCAUUUUAGUUUUAGUAUUUAGAAAAUACAAAUAUAAGUUGAGAAUUGAGAUUGAAGUAUGUGAAAUAUAGCCUCUAGCCUUUGCUAGUUGGCGGGGUUAAGCCUCUAGCCUUUGCUAGUUGGCGGGGUGAAGCCUCUAGCCUUUGCUAGUUGGCGGGGUUAAGCCUCUAGCCUUUGCUAGUUGGCGGGGUGAAGCCUCUAGCCUUUGCUAGUUGGCGGGGUGAAGCCUCUAGCUUUGCUAGUUGGCGGGGAGAAUGGAAAUCACCGCUAUCUUGUGAUAGCCUUGGGUUAAUCUUAGUUUUAACAUAAUUUUAAGUCUUAACUUGCAUGCAAUUUACUUAAUAGGUGACACUUCCCAUCGGUAGGGGAAAUGCACAAGGUAUUUUGCAUCAAAGAGGGUGUAUCACCCUUGGAGAUGCUGGGAAGUGGAGAUAUUCUUGAGAAAUUCAAGAGUUUUUUACUUCUCUACUCUACUAAGUAUCUUUAAGAGUGAGAGACUCUCAUAGAUACUGUAGAGUACAACAUUCACGCCUGGCGGUCCUUAGUUUAGUGAUAAGUUCAAUCUAUGAUUAGCAACUAUUUAUCAUCAUUUUUUGAUACUUUAAAAUUAGAGAUAUUCUUGAGAAAUUCAAGGGUUCUCUAAUGAGUAUCAUUGAGAGUAAGAAACUCUUAUUGAUACUGUCUUGUACAAACAUACACUCCUGUUGAUUCAGGUAUUCUCUUAGUUCAGUCCAAGUUAAGAUUUGUAACUGUUUAUCUACAUUAUAUAAAAUUGCUUUGUUUUGUAAGUGCUUUACAAGUUUGUUGCAGCUUAGCCUACCAAAUGAAUCCAAGUGCACCAUUGUAGAUAUUUUUUAAAAGCAGGAUUGAUGAACAACUAAACAAACAAUAUUGUGGAGAUACAUGUGAAUUAUAAUGGAGAUGCCACCAGAUAUUCAAUGCAUUGGAGAGCAGCUCUACUACCAAAGUGGAGAUGUGGAUCACUGGAUGUGGUAUGAGAUAUCUGGUAACCAUAUUUUCAGUAGUCAAGACAGGAUAGAAUUCUCUAACACUUCCCUAUUCUAACACAGAUAUCAAGCUAGGGCCGGGAUGUUUAUGGUGGUUACUAUUAUGACACAGUUCAUCCCGACCCCUUCGGCAGUGCCUUGUUCUAUCCGGUUGGUUCUGAGUCCAAUGGGUGCUUUCAAGUUAGAGUCAACUGACCUGCAGAUCGCAUUUCCGCGUGCCAACAACUGGACGAACAUGUGCUACUGUUAGAUUGUGGUUUAUGGAUGGCUGUGGAGUAAGAAAAUCACCUUGAAUAGGGUUUGAGUUGUCAGGGUCCCUGUAGGAUAUUUGCAGUUGUCAGUCGACUAUUACAUUUCUGAUCAGUGCCCUUUGUGGUGGUGCCACAGCUUUUUCAUGAUGGUUGCGGGCUCAGUACAGCACUAAUUUGAUGAGCAGGUGGUACUGUUACACUGUGGCCUGGUCUGACUUGUUCUAUGAGACUGGCGAUGCAAAUAUUAGAUUGUAGUGCCUUCAGCAAACUUAGGGAUGGGGGUGUGAGAAUUAUCUGUCUUAAGAAUUAGAAUUAAGAAAAAUACGUUUAUAUCUGAGGCUGGAGUGAUAUUAAGUAUAGUCUCUAGCCUUUGCUAGUUGGCGGGGUGAAGCCUCUAGCCUUUGCUAGUUGGCGGGGAAGG